AUGGGAGAGGUUCUAGAACAACCCUCUAUAAAAAACUAGGGACAG
rnacentral:ncRNA from 2 species